GGACGCCGAAGGUGGGGCUGAUGACUGGGGUGAAGUCGUAACAAGGUAGCCGUACCGGAAGGUGCGGCUGGAUCACCUCCUAACAGGGAGACAAAAACUGAUUAUUGAUGUCUGAUUUUAUUUCAGGCCAUAAUCCUGUCACCUUAGGUCGAUCGGUACCUCAGAUUAAAAAUAUCAACUCUUUUGAAUUUUUUGAUUUCAGUUUCUAAACUUGUCUAGGUCACACCCAACAAACUUUCUCCUGGGCUAUUAGCUCAGGCGGUUAGAGCGCACCCCUGAUAAGGGUGAGGUCCCUGGUUCAAGUCCAGGAUGGCCCAUUCGUAGUUGGGGGUAUAGCUCAGUUGGUAGAGCGCCUGCUUUGCAAGCAGGAUGUCAGCGGUUCGAGUCCGCUUACCUCCACUGAUCAACUACCUGAUAACUCAAUUUGGAGAUUGUCAAUUGUUUGAUGUGAUUUAGAUAUUGUUCAUCUGAAUGAACCUAGCUUCCUGUCACUCCUAAAAUCUAGGCUGAUAAGACGCUGGGCUCUCUGAUUAUUUAGUAAUAAUCAGUUGGAUUCAGCAGAACCUUGACAACUGCAUAGAAAAGUCUGGAAAGAAAAAAGCAUCUCAUAGAUGCAUAGAUAUUUGAUAUUCAGAAUCUCUGAAAAUAUUAGAUUUCUAUGAGUAAUUCUUGAGUUAGAGCAAAAUUUUCUAUUGAAAUUUUUUAAAAUUAAUCAAUAGAUUAAUGGUCAAGCUACAAAGGGCUCAC
rnacentral:misc_RNA from 1 species